CCGAAGGUGAACCUGCGGAAGGAUCAUU
rnacentral:rRNA from 1 species